rnacentral:rRNA from 1 species
UACAGAGGUCCCAAGCGUUGUUCGGAUUCACUGGGCGUAAAGGGUGCGUAGGUGGUCGGGUAAGUCUGGUGUGAAAUCUCCGAGCUCAACUCGGAAAUGGCAUUGGAUACUAUUCGGCUGGAGGGUUGGAGGGGGGACUGGAAUUCUUGGUGUAGCAGUGAAAUGCGUAGAUAUCAAGAGGAACACCAGUGGCGAAGGCGAGUCCCUGGACAACUCCUGACACUGAGGCACGAAAGCUAGGGGAGCAAACAGG